rnacentral:pre_miRNA from 1 species
CUAGAGGGGGUGUCCCUCAGCCCAGAUUGCAAGAGGGUGCAGGCCAGGCUGAGGGACCCAACUGGUGCACG